rnacentral:rRNA from 1 species
GGACUACAGGGGUAUCUAAUCCUGUUUGCUCCCCUAGCUUUCGUGCCUCAGCGUCAGAAGUUGUCCAGGGACUCGCCUUCGCCACUGGUGUUCCUCUUGAUAUCUACGCAUUUCACUGCUACACCAAGAAUUCCAGUCCCCCCUCCAACUCUCAAGCCGAAUAGUAUCCAAUGCAGUUUCACAGUUAAGCUGUGAGAUUUCACAUCAGACUUACCCGACCGCCUACGCACCCUUUACGCCCAGUGAAUCCGAACAACGCUUGGGACCUCUGUAUUACCGCGGCUGCUGGCAC